CGCAUCUGUGCAUGCAGCAUAUCAAUAAGCGGAGGAAAAGAAACUAACAAGGAUUCCCUCAGUAACGGCGAGUGAAGCGGGAAGAGCUCAAAUUUGAAAUCUUGAAAGGUCACCUUUCACGAAUUGUAGUUUAAAGAAGUGUUUUCUGUUACGAUCGUAAUAUAAGUUCUUUGGAAUAGGACAUCACAGAGGGUGAGAAUCCCGUCUAUGAUUGCGAUUUGUAGCUUUGUGAUACACUUUCAAAGAGUCGGGUUGUUUGGGAAUGCAGCCCAAAACGGGAGGUAAAUUUCUUCUAAGGCUAAAUAUUGGCGAGAGACCGAUAGCGAACAAGUACCGUGAGGGAAAGAUGAAAAGAACUUUGAAAAGAGAGUUAAAUAGUACGUGAAAUUGUCAAAAGGGAAGCGUUUAACACCAGUGUUGUUUUCUGAAAAUCAACCUCUGUUAGCUUUAUGCAUGUUUGUUUAGACCUAAUCAGCUAUCUUGCAUGUUCUAUUGUUUGCAGUGGUGCACUUUUCAGUUUACAGGUCAACAUCAGUUUUUUUUACCGUAAAAAAGUUAAAGAAAGGUAGCUCAUGGCUCCGGUCGUGAGUGUUAUAGUCUUUUUCCUAUGCGGUAGGAGAGACUGAGGUCUGCAGUGUAGGCUAUUUGGCUAGAUACUCAGGUGCUAUGUGAUACCAUUUCAUAAACAACUUGUUGAUUAUGUUUUGUCUAUUGCAUACUCGCUUGUACUAUCAUACCUACGCUUAGGAUGUUGAAGUCAUCGUAUCGCG
rnacentral:rRNA from 1 species